rnacentral:rRNA from 1 species
GAUCAUGGCUCAGGAUGAACGCUAGCUACAGGCUUAACACAUGCAAGUCGAGGGGCAGCAUUGGAGUAGCAAUACUCAGAUGGCGACCGGCGCACGGGUGAGUAACACGUAUCCAACCUGCCGCUUACUCGGGGAUAGCCUUUCGAAAGAAAGAUUAAUACCCGAUGGUAUAAAGAGUUCGCAUGUUCUCUUUAUUAAAGAAUUUCGGUAAGCGAUGGGGAUGCGUUCCAUUAGAUAGUUGGCGGGGUAACGGCCCACCAAGUCUACGAUGGAUAGGGGUUCUGAGAGGAAGGUCCCCCACAUUGGAACUGAGACACGGUCCAAACUCCUACGGGAGGCAGCAGUGAGGAAUAUUGGUCAAUGGACGAGAGCCUGAACCAGCCAAAAGUAGCGUGAAGGAUGACUGCCCUAUGGGUUGUAAACUUCUUUUAUAAGGGAAUAAAGUGAGGGACGUGUCCCUUUUUGUAUGUACCUUAUGAAUAAGGAUCGGCUAACUCCGUGCCAGCCGCCGC